UGACUGUCCGCUUGCGGACUCGCCUCAAAAUGAUUGGCGGCCGGUACUUUUGGCUUCGAGCGCAGCAGAAACGCGAACUCGAGGCCUGUGUGCUGGCUCCCAGAAGCUAUCUUCACAAUUUUGACCUCGGAUCAGGUAGGGAUACCCGCUGAACUUAAGCAUAUCAAUAAGCGGAGGAAAAGAAACCAACAGGGAUUGCCCUAGUAACGGCGAGUGAAGCGGCAACAGCUCAAAUUUGAAAUCUGGCUCUUUCAGGGUCCGAGUUGUAAUUUGUAGAGGGUGCUUUGGAGUUGACUGUGGUCUAAGUUCCUUGGAACAGGACGUCGCAGAGGGUGAGAAUCCCGUAUGUGGCCGCCAGUCUUCGCCGUGUAAAGCCCCUUCGACGAGUCGAGUUGUUUGGGAAUGCAGCUCUAAAUGGGAGGUAAAUUUCUUCUAAAGCUAAAUAUUGGCCAGAGACCGAUAGCGCACAAGUAGAGUGAUCGAAAGAUGAAAAGCACUUUGGAAAGAGAGUCAAAAAGCACGUGAAAUUGUUGAAAGGGAAGCGCUUGCAGCCAGACUUGCCUGUAGUUGCUCAUCCGGGCUUUUGCCCGGUGCACUCUUCUAUAGGCAGGCCAGCAUCAGUCCUGGCGGUCGGAUAAAUGCCCGCUGAAUGUACCUCUCCUCGGGGAGGACUUAUAGCGGUGGGCGGCAUACGACC
rnacentral:rRNA from 1 species